GCCAGGUGUGGUGGCACAUGCCUGUAAUCCCAGCUACUUAGGAGGCUGAGGCAGGAGAAUCACUUGAACCCAGGAGGCGGAGGCUGCAGUGAGCAAAGAUCAUGCCACUGCACUCCAGCCUGGGCAAUACAGUGAGACUCUGUCUCAC
rnacentral:SRP_RNA from 1 species